ensembl:snRNA
GUGUUGUAUGAAAGGAGAGAAGUUUAGCACUGCUCUCGACAAGGAUGGAAGACGCUCUCGGGCCUGACAACACGCAUAUGGUUAAGGCACUGCCACCUACUUUGUGGCAUCUAACCAUUUUUUUUU